rnacentral:lncRNA from 1 species
AAAAUGAACAUCUGAGAUUUAAUCAGAAAACCAUUGGUCAAUAACUGUUUUAAAAUCACUGAAAUAAAAAUCAUCUGACAUAUGUUGUUUACCUUAAGUAUAUACUCAUUUUGUAAAUUUUUGUACCCCCUGACACACACACACACACACUCACACACACACACACACACAAGCACUUUUCCCAGCUUUCUCUUCAUGGAGUAAUUUAAUUUAUUCCAUUUUAAAAAUCUUAGACUCAGAAAAUAAUAAAUAAUUAAGGAAUAUUAUAGAACCGAUUACAUGAUUUCAGUAAGCUAAAAAUGAUGUUCGCUCUGUAUUUCUCACUAUAUCAAUGAGAUUCUUUAUUAUACAAGUAUAACAUCUCUUAAGAGCAAUUAGUUAAGUAAAAUUUUGUCAGAAGAUAUGAGGAUUACUCUCUCAUUUAAAAAAAGUAACUUGCCAACAAACAGGCAUGAUUGAAUUCGAGAAGCUUCAGUUUUUUGCGACCCUGCUCCUGAAGUGAAACUUGGAUCCUAAACACCAAAUGGUGGGUUCAUCUGCCAUGAUACAUGACAUUUGUUUUAUCAAACAGCAUAAACUCUGUUAAAGAUGUUCCUUAAAAGGUCUAAUUUCAAGUAUACCCUGCCAUCAGAGUUGAUCUACCAUAGACAGACUAACAAAUACCAACCGAAUAAAAUCUAAUGCAUAAAGGACAGAAAAAUAAAUUACAUUUUCCCCCAAAUUUACAAAAUUGAUUGCUCAUUAAGAUGUUUAUGGCUGGGUACAGUGGCUCAUGCCUGUAAUCCCAGCACUUAGGGAGGCCAAGGCGGGCAGAUCACAAGGUCAAGAGAUCAAGACCAUCCUGGCCAACAAGGUGAAACCCUGUCUCUACUAAAAAUACAAAUUAGCUGGGCGUGGUAGCACACCUGUAGUCCCAGCUACUCAGGAAGCUGAGGCAGGAGAAUCGCUUGAACUCGGGAGGUAGAGGUUGCAGUGUGCUGAGUUUGUGCCACUGCACUCCAGCCUGGUGACAGGGCAAGACUCCGUCUAAAAAAUAAUAAUAAUAAAAUAAAAAGAUGUUUAUAUGUACAUCUUAAUUUAAUUCACUAUCUCAGAUUAUUUUUAAAUUUGCCUUUAAGCUUAAUGGAAAAUUCCCCUGAACUGUGGUAUAAUUUGAGUUCAAAAUGUAUUAAUCAUGUCCAAAUCUUCAUCUUUAAUCAGGAAAGGUUCAUUUAUUAUAAGCCAUUUCUAAAAUUGCUUUUAAACCUAUACAAUAUGAAUAUGAUUGGGUUACUAAGGUAAGCCUGGACAUGAUAAAAUAGGUUGUAAAAAUUUAGAAUUUUUAAUCACACUAAUCAAAUCAACAUUCUAGGAAAUCAAGUAUGAUAUCUAUCGAAAGGGUGAUGACACCUUAAUUAUGGUAUUGUGCUUUUAUAGCCAGCUUCUGAAACUGUAAUAUCACUGAGUAUCACAGACAAGAUACAAUAAUAAGGUUACCCGCAGAGAAAAGGUAAAAUGCCUUGUAAAUUUAACUUUCUAGAUUUUCAAGUUUCAAGUUUUUGUACUAAAUACUAAAGUUGUACUAAAGUUGAAGCCAUAUGUUCAGAAAUGUUCCUGUAUCUAAAAAAUAAGCUUAUGGCAUUUCCCCAUAAAACACAUUUCUAAGUCCCAAGAUGGAGUAAUUAGAGAGAUGUUUCUGCAUGGAAUUCUAUAAACUGUCACACCUGUUUAGUUGAACAAUGAAUGAAAAUAUGCAGACUUGAACAGAAUUCAAGAAAUUAUUAAAAGACUUACACUUUACCAGCAGAAAUUACUUAAUACAGGAAAAACAUCAGUCAUUUUUCAGGGAGUCAUCAAGGGAUUUUUAAAUCACUAAAAAUGACAAAUAAGAAGUGGAAAAUUAUCACAAUUAUAUAAGCAGUAUUACUGCGAUGUAUGGAACGUCUGUCACCAGUGACAGCCAUUCAACAUUCUACAAGGGGAACCAAUUGACACAUUCAAUAUUACAAGGCUAAAAGCAGUUAUUACAUUUUUUUCACUUUUAAAACAAAACGCAAUCAUGUAAUUUUCAAUUAGUAUAAAAAUUGAAUGCACUCUGAGUCAAAAAUAAGCAGGUAUCAUAUUUUCCAUAUGGCCAUUUGUAGCAAAUCAUACAUUUCAUUUUUGAUAAAUGGUAUUUUUUCAAAGUUCUUUUCUGUGUGUUAAUAAAACACGGAGAGGAAGCUGUGAUUCUUUUCUUUCUAUACAUGGCAAUAACAGUGUACAAUACUCAGCCAGACAUGGUGGCUCAUGCCUGUAAUCCCAGCACUUUGGGAGGCCGAGGCGGGCGGAUCAUGAGGUCAGGAGUUUGAGACCAGCCUGGCCAACAUGGUGGAACCCUCUCUCUAUUAAAAAUACAAAAAUUAUCCAGGCAUGGUGGCACGCAAGGCAAUUAUCUAUAAACCCUGUGACAAGACUGGUAGCCUCAAUUUUUCUCUCAUAAAUAACAUAAACAUAACUCAUA